rnacentral:lncRNA from 1 species
CUUCUGUCUCACUGGAUUCGUUUUAUUUAAAAUAUUUUUCAUCAUCGUCAGUCCUAAAUGAUGAUAUUACUGAAUAUCUUUGGCCUGUAGUGCAAAGAUGAAUGAUUAACUGAUGAAUAUCUUUGGCCCGUAGUGCGAAGAUGAACAGGUGUUGAGAUGAACAUGACCAACUGGUGAUACAAAUGAAUAUCUUUGGCCUGUAGUGCAAAGAUGAAUAUUGAUUAAAGAUGUAUAUUGAUUGUUGUUACAGGGAUAAAAUU